ACUCCUGCGGGAGGCAGCAGUGGGGAAUAUUGGACAAUGGGCGCAAGCCUGAUCCAGCCAUGCCGCGUGAGUGAUGAAGGCCCUAGGGUUGUAAAGCUCUUUCACCGGUGAAGAUAAUGACGGUAACCGGAGAAGAAGCCCCGGCUAACUUCGUGCCAGCAGCCGCGGUAAUACGAAGGGGGCUAGCGUUGUUCGGAUUUACUGGGCGUAAAGCGCACGUAGGCGGACUAUUAAGUCAGGGGUGAAAUCCCGGGGCUCAACCCCGGAACUGCCUUUGAUACUGGUAGUCUUGAGUUCGAGAGAGGUGAGUGGAAUUCCGAGUGUAGAGGUGAAAUUCGUAGAUAUUCGGAGGAACACCAGUGGCGAAGGCGGCUCACUGGCUCGAUACUGACGCUGAGGUGCGAAAGCGUGGGGAGCAAACAGGAUUAGAAACCCUGGUAGUCCCAUG
rnacentral:rRNA from 1 species